CAGGACAAAAAUUGUCUGGGACAAUGAGUCCGAAUCAAGGGUCCAUUUCACAGGGUCCCUAAUGAAGGUUCGUAAUUGAGGAAUAAUCAUCAAAUGAGGAACUCUGGGAUGGACUUUCA
rnacentral:lncRNA from 1 species